UACGUAGGGGGCGAGCGUUGUCCGGAUUUAUUGGGCGUAAAGAGCGUGUAGGCGGUUCGGUAAGUCUGCCGUGAAAUCCUGAGGCUCAACCUUGGACGUGCGAUGGAUACUGCCGGGCUAGAGGAUGGUAGAGGCGAGUGGAAUUCCCGGUGUAGCGGUGAAAUGCGCAGAUAUCGGGAGGAACACCAGUAGCGAAGGCGGCUCGCUGGGCCAUUCCUGACGCUGAGACGCGAAAGCUAGGGGAGCGAACAGG
rnacentral:rRNA from 1 species